rnacentral:rRNA from 1 species
AGAAUGAACGUUGGCGGCGUGGAUUAGGCAUGCGAGUCGCGCGAGAAUGUAGCAAUACAGGAAAGCGGCGAAAGGGAGAGGAAUAGGUGGGAAUCUGCCCCUGGGUCGGGGAUAGCUACGGGAAACUGUAGGUAAUACCCGAUAACGUCGAAAGACCAAAGGUGUGAUUCCGUCUGGGGAUGAGCCCACCUCCUAUUAGCUAGUUGUUAAGGUAAUGGCCUAACAAGGCAUUGAUGGGUAGCUGGUGUGAGAGCACGACCAGCCUCACUGGCACUGAGACACUGGCCAGACACCUACGGGUGGCUGCAGUCGAGAAUCUUCGGCAAUGGACGAAAGUCUGACCGAGCGACGCCGCGUGUGGGAUGAAGGCCGUUCGGUUGUAAACCGCUGUCGUAGAGAGUACGAGUAGUAGUAGGGUACUCCCUGUAUUGAGAGAUCCUAGGAGGAAGGAGAGGCGUAAGCGUCGUGCAGCAGCCGC